CAGUACGUGCGUGAGCGAGUGAGCGGAAAGGAGAGCGCGCGGACGACGCGCCCGGGACGCGCGGCUGCACCGGGAAGCCCAGGCCAAGCGGUUUUGAGAGAUUGCUACAAUUUGGACUCACAAGCAAGAUUUACUGCAAACUUUGAGAUGGAGUAGGUGAGUGGAUGGAUUGGCACCAGGUCAUGUGGGAGGGAAAUGUCCCUUAGGCUGGUUUACCAGGCUGCUACUUACUUGUGACUUAGCCAGUGUAAGCUUCUUGAUGGAUUUCCCUGUGCUGUUUUCCUGCUGAUGGGAAAAGCAGAUGGUGUGCAAAGCCCGCUCAGUCCCAGUCACUGACUUCUCAGCCGAUUUCUCUCUUCUUGUUCCCGUGUCGUUAGGGCCAGCAUGCGUCCUAAUGGGGCAGGGGAAAUCUCUGUCCUCCAUAGGCCACUUACGCGGACUCGUGAUAACGAGAAACAAAAAAGGAGACUUACUCAGUGUGGCCACCAUGGGAAGAGGAACAGAGAAAGCGGUCUAGUGGCCCACACACCCUGCCCAAGUCUGUCUCCAGAGGACUUCAUCAGGAUUAGGUUAAACAGGUCAUAAAGGUUUCAUGAGUAAGUAGGCCGAGUCAAGGUGUGGGCCUGCUUAUCAUCAUCUGGCUUCAGUUUCUCCUGUGAGAUGGUCUGACGAGUUGUGAGAGCUGUGUGAGACACGGUCCUACUGUCCCUGGCAACAGGGCCCAGACCUUCUGUCUUCUAAUAGAAGACUCUGGGGACCAACUGUUGUCUCAGUGGUCUGAUAGCCUAAGCGUAGGGGUUUCUCCUUAGAGAGGUGUCUUGGCUCUUAUAGAAUGGUUAUGUUGAUAGUUAAAAUAGUUUAAGUUUUCCCCUGGUUCCUUAAGCUGCUUAGGUUUUCUGUUACACACUUCUGUUUCUGUUCAUGAUAGAUACUUGGAGACAGUCUUCUCCACUUGUCUUACGUUGUGAUGUGUUUCUGUUUCAACCCUGCUUUGAGCAAGAAUGUGCUACUGAACCCACACUCUACAGUUAGAAGCAUGAAGCUUAUGUAUGAGCAGGGUGGCGGCUGGUCAAUCUUCUUUCCCCUUCCCGACUCCUGUGCUGCUGUUGAUCUUCAUAGUGUCAGAAAAUUGUCAAGACAGAAGGAAGAAAUCACCCACAGACACCAACCUGUAAUAGAUUACCUCUAUAUUUAUAACUACAGCCUGGAAUAUUUUUGAUUUCUUGGUUUCUUGUAUACCAGACUCUUGUUUCUUUUUGAAGUGGUCAAAAUACAUUGAAUAGGUCUGGUUUUUCUGCCAUAAGUCUGAGUACUUUGGUUUUGCUUUUUGUUUUUUUUCUCUGUUGGAAAUAAGAUGCUUUGUAUAAAUUGCAUUUUAUUUUUGUUUAAAAUUUUCUCAGUAUUAAGAAUAUCGUC
rnacentral:lncRNA from 1 species